CUACCAUAUCGGCCUAUUUUUGCACCGACGACGUCGAUUGACGUAGACUACAUAUUUUCGUCGCCAGAUUUGUUGAACAAUUAAGUCGCCUGCAAUAGUUACCUAUUUUAUCGGUAAAAUAAUCGAUUGAUUAUGUAUUUGGUGCUAAUUUUGAUCAUCUGAUUAAUGAACAGACGAAAUCGGAUCCCUGUGAUCAGAAACGUAAAAGGAAGAAAAAGCAUUCAUGAAGACUGGUUUUCCGGAAAUAAUCAAGAAUUAUGAAGUUUGAAACGACACCGUUUGACCACAAAGUGCUCAUACACCCGGAUCUGGUGCCAUCUAUGAAAGUAUGGACAGUCCCAGAACUAUCAUGCAGCCCACCCAUUUACUAAAUCGAUUAAGUAUCCUAUUUCAUCUGAUGUCAUGAUUUUUUACACCAAUCAAUUUAUAGAUUUCUUCUGAUUAGCUUCACGAUGAAAUUCAAUAAACCGAUUAAACACUCAA